GAUGUCAGGCCUUAUACCAGCAAUGUACAUCUAUUAGCCUCUUUCCGACCAAGUAGUUACAGGAAAAUAGUUAUAGGAACAAUCUACUUCUUAACAGUUCUACUAACUAUUCUCCCCCAAAAACGUUUUUCCAUUUGCAUUCACACUGGCCAAGUGGCCAUAGUAACUGACCUGUUGUCAGUAUAACACAGCCAUCUAACUACCACUAUGCGGAAAAGGGAAAA